UACGUAGGGGGCAAGCGUUGUCCGGAUUUAUUGGGCGUAAAGAGCGUGUAGGCGGCCUGACAGGUCUGCUGUGAAAACUCGAGGCUCAACCUCGAGAUGUCGGCGGAAACCGUCUGGCUAGAGUCCGGAAGAGGAGAGUGGAAUUCCUGGUGUAGCGGUGAAAUGCGCAGAUAUCAGGAGGAACACCAAUGGCGAAGGCAGCUCGCUGGGACGGUACUGACGCUGAGGCGCGAAAGCGUGGGGAGCGAAACAGG
rnacentral:rRNA from 1 species